UACGUAGGGUGCGAGCGUUGUCCGGAAUUACUGGACGUAAAGAGCUCGUAGGUGGUUUGUCGCGUCGUCUGUGAAAUUCCGGGGCUUAACCUCGGGCGUGCAGGCGAUACGGGCAAUACUUGAGUGCUGUAGGGGAGACUGGAAUUCCUGGUGUAGCGGUGAAAUGCGCAGAUAUCAGGAGGAACACCAAUGGCGAAGGCAGGUCUCUGGGCAGUUACUGACGCUGAGGAGCGAAAGCAUGGGUAGCGAACAGGAUUAGA
rnacentral:rRNA from 1 species